CGGAUACUGGGCGUAAGCGCACGCAGGCGGUCUGUCAAGUCGGAUGUGAAAUCCCCGGGCUCAACCUGGGAACUGCAUUCGAAACUGGCAGGCUAGAGUCUUGUAGAGGGGGGUAGAAUUCCAGGUGUAGCGGUGAAAUGCGUAGAGAUCUGGAGGAAUACCGGUGGCGAAGGCGGCCCCCUGGACAAAGACUGACGCUCAGGUGCGAAAGCGUGGGGAGCAAACAGGAUUAGAUACCCUGGUAGUCCACGCCGUAAACGAUGUCGACUUGGAGGUUGUGCCCUUGAGGCGUGGCUUCCGGAGCUAACGCGUUAAGUCGACCGCCUGGGGAGUACGGCCGCAAGGUUAAAACUCAAAUGAAUUGACGGGGGCCCGCACAAGCGGUGGAGCAUGUGGUUUAAUUCGAUGCAACGCGAAGAACCUUACCUACUCUUGACAUCCAGAGAACUUUCCAGAGAUGGAUUGGUGCCUUCGGGAACUCUGAGACAGGUGCUGCAUGGCUGUCGUCAGCUCGUGUUGUGAAAUGUUGGGUUAAGUCCCGCAACGAGCGCAACCCUUAUCCUUUGUUGCCAGCGGUUAGGCCGGGAACUCAAAGGAGACUGCCAGUGAUAAACUGGAGGA
rnacentral:rRNA from 1 species